rnacentral:tRNA from 1 species
GCCCCCAUCGUCUAGCGGCCAAGGACGCCGUCCUCUCAGGGCGGAGACGGAGAUUCGAAUUCUCCUGGGGGCACCA